GCGAACGGGUGAGUAACACGUGAGUAACCUGCCCUUAACUCUGGGAUAAGCCUGGGAAACUGGGUCUAAUACCGGAUAUGACUCCUCAUCGCAUGGUGGGGGGUGGAAAGCUUUUUGUGGUUUUGGAUGGACUCGCGGCCUAUCAGCUUGUUGGUGAGGUAAUGGCUCACCAAGGCGACGACGGGUAGCCGGCCUGAGAGGGUGACCGGCCACACUGGGACUGAGACACGGCCCAGACUCCUACGGGAGGCAGCAGUGGGGAAUAUUGCACAAUGGGCGAAAGCCUGAUGCAGCGACGCCGCGUGAGGGAUGACGGCCUUCGGGUUGUAAACCUCUUUCAGUAGGGAAGAAGCGAAAGUGACGGUACCUGCAGAAGAAGCGCCGGCUAACUACGUGCCAGCAGCCGCGGUAAUACGUAAGGGCGCAAGCGUUAUCCCGGAAUUAUUGGGCGUAAAGAGCUCGUA
rnacentral:rRNA from 1 species